CGAGAAAGCCCGCAAGGGUGAGCAAAGCGGCGCACGGGUGCGUAACACGUGGGUAAUCUGCCCUGGAGUCCGGAAUAACUCGCCGAAAGGCGUGCUAAUGCCGGAUAAGACCACGGGAACUUCGGUUCCUGCGGGAAAAGGUGGCCUCUGCACACAAGCUAUCACUUCAGGAUGAGCCCGCGGCCCAUCAGCUAGUUGGCGGGGUAAUGGCCCACCAAGGCUACGACGGGUAGCUGGUCUAAGAGGACGAUCAGCCACACCGGAACUGAGACACGGUCCAGACUCCUACGGGAGGCAGCAGUGGGGAAUCUUGCGCAAUGGGCGAAAGCCUGACGCAGCAACGCCGCGUGUGUGAUGAAGGUCUUCGGAUCGUAAAGCACUGUCGAGAGGGACGAAUAAGGCCGGCGCUAACAUCGCCGGCUGAUGACGGUACCUCUAAAGGAAGCACCGGCUAACUCUGUGCCAGCAGCCGCGGUAAUACAGAGGGUGCAAGCGUUGUUCGGAAUUAUUGGGCGUAAAGCGCGUGUAGGCGGUUCAGCAAGUCGGAUGUGAAAGCCCUCGGCUUAACCGAGGAAGGGCGUUCGAAACUACUGAACUUGAGUGCCGGAGA
rnacentral:rRNA from 1 species